UACGUAGGGUGCAAGCGUUGUCCGGAAUUAUUGGGCGUAAAGAGCUCGUAGGCGGUUCGUCGCGUCGGCUGUGAAAACCCGGAGCUCAACUCCGGGCCUGCAGUCGAUACGGGCGGACUUGAGUGUUGCAGGGGAGACUGGAAUUCCUGGUGUAGCGGUGAAAUGCGCAGAUAUCAGGAGGAACACCGGUGGCGAAGGCGGGUCUCUGGGCAACUACUGAUGCUGAGGAGCGAAAGCGUGGGGAGCGAACAGG
rnacentral:rRNA from 1 species